AGUGAACGCUGGCGGUAGGCCUAACACAUGCAAGUCGAACGGCAGCACAGUAAGAGCUUGCUCUUACGGGUGGCGAGUGGCGGACGGGUGAGGAAUACAUCGGAAUCUACUUUUUCGUGGGGGAUAACGUAGGGAAACUUACGCUAAUACCGCAUACGACCUACGGGUUAAAGCAGGGGAUCUUCGGACCUUGCGCGAUUGAAUGAGCCGAUGUCGGAUUAGCUAGUUGGCGGGGUAAAGGCCCACCAAGGCGACGAUCCGUAGCUGGUCUGAGAGGAUGAUCAGCCACACUGGAACUGAGACACGGUCCAGACUCCUACGUGAGGCAGCAGUGGGGAAUAUUGGACAAUGGGCGCAAGCCUGAUCCAGCCAUACCGCGUGGGUGAAGAAGGCCUUCGGGUUGUAAAGCCCUUUUGUUGGGAAAGAAAAGCAGCAGGUUAAUACCCCGCUGUUCUGACGGUACCCAAAGAAUAAGCACCGGCUAACUUCGUG
rnacentral:rRNA from 1 species